CCGUGGGACUCACCAGCUCCAGCCCAGCCUGGAGCUCUGCCAGCUGUGGCUCUCGGGCUCCAGGCUCUGCCCCCAGUGUGGAGAGAAGGGUCCCGGGGGGGGUCACUGUCAGCGUGGAUGAGUCCCUUUGCCUCUCUGAGCCUCGGUUUCUUCAUCGGUAGCAGGGGAGGGUAGCUGUCCCAGCCUGGUGGGGUUAUUCUGAGAUUCAGGCUGGGGUGUGUUUCAGGCUUGGAGGAUGGGGGCUGUCUGGGGGUGCAGAUGGCCCGCCUCAGGAGCGACAGCCCUGAAGGCCUUGGGUGAAUCACUUUGCUCUGCAAGCCCCGACUUCCCCCCAUGGUCUGGGCCUGGGAUAGAUAGAAUGUUCUCAGAGGCAGGAACUUCUGAGCCAUCAGUGAGACAACAACGGCAACCAUAGUAAUAAUGCCUGUGCGUUUCAAUCACUGCUUCAUCUGUUUAUUCUUUCAGCUGAUAUGCUUUAGCUCCGUUCGUUCGUUCAAUGAACAUUGGUGAAUACAUUUUGUGCCAGGCUAAGGUGGCCAGAUGUAGCACAAAUAAAAACGAGAUCCAUGACAGCUACAAAAGACCCGGGACGCCCAAGUAAAUUUGAAUUCCAGAGAAGCAGCGAGUCCUUUUUUUUAGUCCCUGUGAGGUGAGAGCUAUCGCUCGCGUUGACCCACGAGGAAUUGGAGGGUCAGAGAACUGUGUCCACCUGCCUGUGGACAUCCUGACUGAGGGCCCAGACUCGAGACCUGGGGCUGGGGGGGCCUUCAGUAGAGCCCCGCUGACUCGCUCACCCCCUACUCACUUCCUGGAGAGCAGUUUCAGGAACACAAGACCAGAUUGAUGGGGAAGCUGAAGCCCAGAGAGGUGGAGACACCAGCCCCAGGCUGAACAGCGAAGAGGCUAAGCUGGGGCUUGAAUGCAGACAGCCAGGAACCGGAUGGAGCCUGCCCUCUGACCCACCACCGCCUUCCUCGGGGA
ensembl:lncRNA